UACGUAGGGUGCGAGCGUUAAUCGGAAUUACUGGGCGUAAAGCGUGCGCAGGCGGUUUUGUAAGCCGGAUGUGAAAUCCCCGGGCUUAACCUGGGAAUGGCAUUCGGGACUGCAAGGCUGGAGUGCGGCAGAGGAGACUGGAAUUCCUGGUGUAGCAGUGAAAUGCGUAGAUAUCAGGAGGAACACCGAUGGCGAAGGCAGGUCUCUGGGCUGACACUGACGCUGAGGCGCGAAAGCGUGGGGAGCGAACAGG
rnacentral:rRNA from 1 species